UCUUCGAUGGUCUAGUGGUCAUGAUUUCCGCUUGUCAAAGACAUCAGUCUUAACAAGCGCGGGAGACCGGGGUUCGAUUCCCCGUCGGAGAG